rnacentral:rRNA from 1 species
GAUGAACGCUGGCGGCGUGCCUAAUACAUGCAAGUCGAGCGAACGGACGAGAAGCUUGCUUCUCUGAUGUUAGCGGCGGACGGGUGAGUAACACGUGGAUAACCUACCUAUAAGACUGGGAUAACUUCGGGAAACCGGAGCUAAUACCGGAUAAUAUUUUGAACCGCAUGGUUCAAAAGUGAAAGACGGUCUUGCUGUCACUUAUAGAUGGAUCCGCGCUGCAUUAGCUAGUUGGUAAGGUAACGGCUUACCAAGGCAACGAUGCAUAGCCGACCUGAGAGGGGGAUCGGCCACACUGGAACUGAGACACGGUCCAGACUCCUACGGGAGGCAGCAGUAGGGAAUCUUACGCAAUGGGCGAAAGCCUGACGGAGCAACGCCGCGUGAGUGAUGAAGGUCUUCGGAUCGUAAAACUCUGUUAUUAGGGAAGAACAUAUGUGUAAGUAACUGUGCACAUCUUGACGGUACCUAAUCAGAAAGCCACGGCUAACUACGUG